rnacentral:rRNA from 1 species
UACAGAGGUCUCAAGCGUUGUUCGGAUUCAUUGGGCGUAAAGGGUGCGUAGGUGGCGCCGUAAGUCAGGUGUGAAAUUUCGGAGCUUAACUCCGAAACUGCAUUUGAUACUGCGGUGCUUGAGGACUGGAGAGGAGACUGGAAUUCACGGUGUAGCAGUGAAAUGCGUAGAUAUCGUGAGGAAGACCAGUGGCGAAGGCGGGUCUCUGGACAGUUCCUGACACUGAGGCACGAAGGCCAGGGAAGCAAACGGG